rnacentral:rRNA from 1 species
CCUACGUGAGGCAGCAGUGGGGAAUAUUGGACAAUGGGCGAAAGCCUGAUCCAGCCAUGCCGCGUGUGUGAAGAAGGCCUUCGGGUUGUAAAGCACUUUCAGUGGGGAAGAAAGCCUUGGGGCUAAUACCCUCGAGGAAGGACAUCACCCACAGAAGAAGCACCGGCUAACUCCGUGCCAGCAGCCGCGGUAAUACGGAGGGUGCGAGCGUUAAUCGGAAUUACUGGGCGUAAAGCGCGCGUAGGCGGUCUGAUAAGCCGGUUGUGAAAGCCCCGGGCGCAACCUGGGAACGGCAUCCGGAACUGUCAGGCUAGAGUGCAGGAGAGGAAGGUAGAAUUCCCGGUGUAGCGGUGAAAUGCGUAGAGAUCGGGAGGAAUACCAGUGGCGAAGGCGGCCUUCUGGACUGACACUGACGCUGAGGUGCGAAAGCGUGGGUAGCAAACAGGAUUAGAUACCCGAGUAGUC